rnacentral:misc_RNA from 1 species
AAAACUCUCCUCUUUUUUCUCUCCUUCUCUUCCCUCUGCCCCUGGCUCCAAACUGCAUGACCUAUCCCAUAAAAAAAGUCAGGCUCCGACAAAGGGUCCCUAGCCCAUUAAUGUCCAAAACUGAUCUAGACUUGAAUACAAAUUGUUCUAAGCUUGGGAUGUUUUCUUGAGGCCUAAUUUGAUAGAAAACUAUGUCAUAUAUCUUUUGCACUUUGACAAGCCUGGUUAAUAAACUAAAUUCAACCUUCCAGGCUGGGCCAGACUCAGGCCUAGAUAAGAAAAUUCUAUGCCAAACUGGGUCCGGCUGCCCGGAAAGUAAGCAGACCACAUAAAACCAGUUGAAGCUAAUUUAUAGGCGUGUGCUCAUGCACGCACAAGCCUGUCGGUGAUUUGACAUUGGAGUGUUACCAUUCCUUUCUUCCAAGUGCAUGUGAUAACUUCUUGACAAACUUUCUAACUCAGCUAUAAGUGCACAUAAUCCCAGUAAAGUAGCUAGUUCACAAAGCUGUCCUAAACCAGGUACGUUUACAGAAAACAGCUUACAAUCCAAAUCCAGUUUGGACAGCAUGCCAUAAAAUAAUCUGGAAGCAAAAACAUGGUUCAGAUUUCAACUCAAGCAAAAACACAGUUGAUACAUGCAUAAUUGCCCCUAUAUAGGUAGGUAACACCAAAGUAAUGUCUGGGAAUAAAUUAUACAACUCCCACCAUAUGCCAAAAUGCAAUUAAUUGCCCCUAUAUAGGUAGGUAACACCAAAGUAAUGUCUGGGAAUAAAUUAUACAACUCCCACCAUAUGCCAAAAUGCAAUUAUUUGGGAAUUGUAGAACUGGCAUAGAUUCAUCUGUUAGUCAACAGGCAACCAUACCAGUAUCUUUUUGCUAAUUCCCCCAACAAAUUUGGACUUGAAUUGCAGUUUUAGGAAAAUCCCAAGAUCCCAAGAUAAAAUUAAACUAUUAUAUUUUCCCAUACAUGAAGACACGUGCAAGAAUCAUCACCAUAAAAUGGGAAAUCUCAGAUGGGAGGCCUCACUCUUUUUCAAGAUUCUUCAACUUAAAAAUAAGUUUUUAGACGUGAAUGAGAAUGUUA